rnacentral:rRNA from 1 species
GAUCAUGGCUCAGGACGAACGCUGGCGGCGCGCCUAACACAUGCAAGUCGAACGAGCGAGAGAGAGCUUGCUUUCUCGAGCGAGUGGCGAACGGGUGAGUAACGCGUGAGGAACCUGCCUCAAAGGAGGGGGACAACAGUUGGAAACGACUGCUAAUACCGCAUAAGCCCACGGGUCGGCAUCGACCAGAGGGAAAAGGAGCAAUCCGCUUUGAGAUGGCCUCGCGUCCGAUUAGCUUAGG